rnacentral:rRNA from 1 species
AUUGAACGCUGGCGGCAUGCCUUACACAUGCAAGUCGAACGGUAACAGGUCUUCGGAUGCUGACGAGUGGCGAACGGGUGAGUAAUACAUCGGAACGUGCCUAGUAGUGGGGGAUAACUACUCGAAAGAGUGGCUAAUACCGCAUGAGAUCUACGGAUGAAAGCAGGGGAUCGCAAGACCUUGUGCUACUAGAGCGGCCGAUGGCAGAUUAGGUAGUUGGUGGGAUAAAAGCUUACCAAGCCGACGAUCUGUAGCUGGUCUGAGAGGACGAUCAGCCACACUGGGACUGAGACACGGCCCAGACUCCUGCGGGAGGCAGCAGUGGGGAAUUUUGGACAAGGGGCGCAAGCCUGAUCCAGCAAUGCCGCGUGCAGGAUGAAGGCCUUCGGGUUGUAAACUGCUUUUGUACGGAACGAAAAGCCCCGGGUUAAUACCCUGGGGUCAUGACGGUACCGUAAGAAUAAGCACCGGCUAACUACGUGCCAGCCGCCGCAGUAA